rnacentral:lncRNA from 1 species
AGACUCAAAUCAAAUUUUAUUAUUGUUUUAAGAUAUAAAAAAAAAUGAACAAACAAAUACAAAUUGUGACAAUGACAAAACAAAUUAUUCAGUAACCCAUAAAGGGAAAUAAAUCUUUGAAACUCAAGAGGAAAUUACAGAAUCAAAUCAACAAAUCAAGUAGAUAAAAAAAAUUGAAAGAAACCAAACGGAUCAAGUCCGUAAAUGCUCUUGGUAACACGAUCAGCCGAGGUUGCACUCCGUAGGCAGACCUUGAGGGAACCUCUUGUAGUCAGUACAAUAGUUAUAUAUCAUAUAAUCAUCUUGCACCCAUUUCAUCUGUCCGUACUGGUUUGAGUUAAGGGUAGUCCACAUCCACGAGUUGCUAUUUGCGUUACAUGUCACCCAGUUCAACAACGAGGUCCGGCUGCAGCAGUCCACAUCGUUGAAGCUUCUGUAAGAAGCGCUGAAUGGAGCGUUAGUCCAAUCUGUCUUGACUAGACCGCCUCGUGUGGCCCAAUCAUCAGCUUCCCAUAGACUCGAGUAAAUCUUCAUCGGCUGGCUCUUAGGGUAAGCCACACCAUUAGCCUCGUUGUUCUUGAACACUCGGAUUGGGAUUCCAUCCACUAGAAAGCUUUUGAGAUCCCCAUGAAAAAACAAAAAACAUAUAGUCAAGAACUGUCAUGGAUCAGUUUCCGCAAUAAUUAUAUCCACAACAUGCUAAAAGUUCAAAAAUUAAGAAAAUCUAAUUGAUGUUGAUAGGUCUAGAGUCUAAAAGUGUAGAUAGAUAUGUUUUUAAAUCAGAUUAAAGACUGCUUUAAACGUUUGAUUAACGUAUAACAAUGCUUUCAUAUUUUAAAUUGGACCAAUCGGUUACUUACAUGAUGUUGAGAGGGUUCCAAAGGACGGUGUAAGUGUGGAAAUUCGCAGUUGGAUCGAACCAUAGAUAGAACUGCAUUUCACGGUUACCUUUGCCUCCCGUGAACACAUUUGUAUGAAGAACGUAAGGCUGUCCUGUAACAUUACCCAAGAACUCGAAAUCUAUCUCAUCCCAUGUUUCUCCUUUUGAAGAAAGCUGUGAAAAACAACCAAAAUAUUAGACUGAAAAUUUAUAAAAAGUGCCACAAUUUCUGAAAGAAACGAAGACAGGUGAAGUUUUCACAUACGUAGUAAGCAGUGACGGUUCCGGCAGAGUUUCCAGCGACAAGUUUCAUCUUCAUGUCGAUCUUUCCGAACAAGUACUCCUUCUUUGAUUGAAAACCUGAACCAGAGACCUUGUCGAGAGUGCAAGUCAAGAGCUGUCCACUCUCGAAUAUAUUGGCACGACCAUUUCCCCAAGUGAUAUCGAAAUUGUCGUAGAAACUUCCCGUAGUUACACCGAUCAAGACCAGAAGAGACGACAACAACAACAAAGACUGUUUGGUCGCAAAAGCCACCAUUUUUAGUGUGUUGAUUUUUGCUCUGUUGUGGUUGUUUAUUUGUUUUCUGGAGGUUUGAGUAUGAUCGGAGAAGGGUGUUUGUUUAUAUAGCUAGAUGUCCCUUCUAAAGGUGAAUGCAUCAUCAGAGAGGUUCGUGGAGUCCCAUUAUAGACGUGGUAGUCUUACACAAGCGAUAAUUAUUAUUAUUUGCAAAUAAAUUAUGUCAGGUUAUAUAUACUAAUAUACCUGAAUCAUUUAUAUUGAAGUCGUUCAACGUACAUUUAAAUUAUACAUGUCGCUAUUUUUUUCUGAGAACUUUUUAAUGAUCCUUUAAGCUAUUUAUUUUCUUGUUUUUGGUCAUGCAUUUGGCUCACGUUCAUAUAAGCUUGUUUCAUGUGAUAGUUUUUUUAAAACCAAAAUUGGUUUUUCUAAAAGUUAAGAUAAUUAGUACUUAAAACAAAUGAAACGAAAAGCUUGAAAAUAUUGUUUUGGUAAAAUGGACCGACAUGUUUUUGAAAUCUAUGAGCAACAUGUCAGCCACAUACAUGUAAGAAUUGUCACGCGGAUAAUAAUUAAGGCAACUACGUGAAUUAUUCUUCGAAACUCUUCCAAUAAAAAAUAAAAAAUAAAAUAAAAACUGAACAUUCAUUUCAUCAGGUGGAUAAAUUUAAGUCAAGCAUAGUCAAAACACUCAAAAGAUUACUAUGGAAUAAAAAUCAAACAUUAAUGGCUAUAAAUUUUACUAAAAUGGUCUAUGCUUUCUUAUAUGUAUGUUGGUUCCUUUUUCGCUACAACCAGAUUUGGCUCAGAGUUUCUAUUCAUAAAUUUCUUCAGCUUGAGUCUUGAGAUUAAGGUCUAAGUAUGUAUCAGAGAUAACCUCCUUGUUCGUCUAUUGUUCGUCCAUUCACAUGCAUCCAUGCACAUUUAUCUCCACUGAUUAUGUCUCCGUGCACUGCUGUGUUUCAUUAUUUUGUAUUCAUCCAGACCAGACACAUCGUAAUUGGUAUCUAAUUUGUAGAAACCUAAAAAAAGUCAAUAUAUAUUUAGAUUUCAUAAAAUGUAUCCGGUUGAAUCCAAACACAACUGGCUAUAGUUAUAAACACCUUUAAUCUUUUCUGCAUAUUCUUGGCUCUAGCAACUCUGUUCUUUGCUCUGUUUUUGGAACUGAUAACUCUGUUUUUUGUUUUGUUUUGUGUUAUGACUAUAUUUUCUUUUCUCUGUUCUCAUGUUGGUUUAAAAUGCUUCAAAACACAUUUUAUUACAACCGUCUAGAUAUGAAGCAAGCGUGACCAAAUUAUAAUCCCAAAUCAAACUAAUCCCAAUAUGGGAAAUAACUCUUUGAACAUCAAAAGAAUAACCAAAUCAAAUCAACAAAUAUUGAGGUAAAAAGGAAAACAAAGAAAGAUAUACACUAAAUAGUGCCAAGUGCUUGAAUUUUCUCGGUAACAUGAUCAGUUGAGGUUGCACUCCGUAGGCAGACCUUGAGGGAACCUCUUGUAAUCAGUA